GGAACCCAGCCGUGCUGGUACCCUGAUCUCUGACUUCCAGCCUCCAGAACUGUGAGAAAAUAAACUUCUGCUGUUUAAGACACCAAACCUAUGGUAUUUUGUUACAGCAGCCCAAGCUGACUAAAUAUCUACGGACUAAACUCUGGUUCUAAGAAACAUAUUAAGAUGUAUCUGGGGAGCUUUGCAAGUUUGUCCUCUGUGUCAGUAUCUAAAGGAGGGCUACCGUGAUCUCAGUUCUCGGAUGGUUCCAAGAAGAGAAGAAAACUUCAUGCCUGGUUAGCAGGGGAAUUGGAACACAGCCCAGCUGCAGGAUGGAAAACAAGCAAGGGGCUGAAAUGACAGUCAAGUGUGUUAUGCCUAGGUGUAAGGGACUGGUGCACGAGCUCAAAUCGUGAGUCUGACCUGUCAGUGUAGCAUGGUGGGAUGGGCCAACACGAGUGUCCUUUUGUAAGGAUCCAGGAGCUUUCCGGAGGAGCCCAUCGACCUCCUGGGGAGGGAGGCCAUGCGGAGAAGUGAUUCAGAGGACACAUCUGCUGGGACCAGUCAUGUUACAGAGAUGCUAAUACAACUGAAAGGACUGUUUCCCCAGAGUAUAAGCGCCUCUGUUUCUCCUUCCAGCACCCCGUGUAGUUCAGGCACAUCAUAGCAUAGUAAUCCCCCAUUCCAUUCUCCCAUCCUUGUGACACUGAUGGCAUCCAUGUCACUUCUUUGUACAAGCACACAAUACAUUAUGUUACUGUUUCAAACAGUUGUCUUUUAGAGCAAUUAAGAAUGAAAAAAUAAAAUAUUUUAUCUUGCCUUUA